rnacentral:piRNA from 1 species
UGAGUUGAUAGUACACGGUGAGGACAGA